rnacentral:rRNA from 1 species
AUUGAACGCUGGCGGCAUGCUUUACACAUGCAAGUCGAACGGUAACAGGGAGCUUGCUCCGCUGACGAGUAGCGAACGGGUGAGUAAUGCGUCGGAACGUGCCGAGUAGUGGGGGAUAACGCAGCGAAAGUUGUGCUAAUACCGCAUACGUACUGAGGUAGAAAGUGGGGGACCUUCGGGCCUCACGCUAUUCGAGCGGCCGACGUCUGAUUAGCUAGUAGGUGAGGUAAAGGCUCACCUAGGCGACGAUCAGUAGCGGGUCUGAGAGGAUGAUCCGCCACACUGGGACUGAGACACGGCCCAGACUCCUACGGGAGGCAGCAGUGGGGAAUUUUGGACAAUGGGCGAAAGCCUGAUCCAGCCAUGCCGCGUGUCUGAAGAAGGCCUUCGGGUUGUAAAGGACUUUUGUCGGGGAGGAAAUCCCCAGCGCUAAUACCGCUGGGGGAUGACAGUACCUGAAGAAUAAGCACCGGCUAACUACGUGCCAGCAGCCGCGGUAACAC